rnacentral:rRNA from 1 species
AUUGAACGCUGGCGGCGUGCUUAACACAUGCAAGUCGAUCGGUAACAGGUGUAGCAAUACAUGCUGACGAGAGGCGGACGGGUGAGGAAUAUUUGGGAAUCUGCCCAUCAGCGGGGGACAACCCGGGGAAACCCGGGCUAAUACCGCAUACGCCCUACGGAGGAAAGCCGGGGACCGCAAGGCCUGGCACUGAUGGAUGAGCCCAAAUCGGAUUAGCUAGUUGGCGGGGUAACGGCCCACCAAGGCGACUAUCCGUAGCUGGUCUGAGAGGACGAUCAGCCACACCGGAACUGAAACACGGUCCGGACUCCUACGGGAGGCAGCAGUGGGGAAUAUUGGACAAUGGGGGAAACCCUGAUCCAGCGACGCCGCGUGGGUGAAGAAGGCCUGCGGGUUGUAAAGCCCUUUCGGUAGGGACGAAAGCUCUUGCUCUACUAAUGCAAGAGGUUGACUUAACCUACAUAAGAAGCACCGGCUAACUCUGUGCCAGCCGCCGCCGUAA